CCAGACUCCACGGGAGGCAGCAGUGGGGAAUAUUGCACAAUGGGGGAAACCCUGAUGCAGCGACGCCGCGUGAGUGAGGAAGUAUUUCGGUAUGUAAAGCUCUAUCAGCAGGGAAGAAAAUGACGGUACCUGACUAAGAAGCCCCGGCUAACUACGUGCCAGCAGCCGCGGUAAUACGUAGGGGGCAAGCGUUAUCCGGAUUUACUGGGUGUAAAGGGAGCGUAGACGGCUAAUCAAGUCAGAAGUGAAAACCCAAGGCUCAACCUUGGGAGUGCUUUUGAAACUGAGUAGCUAGAGUGCAGGAGAGGUAAGCGGAAUUCCUAGUGUAGCGGUGAAAUGCGUAGAUAUUAGGAGGAACACCAGUGGCGAAGGCGGCUUACUGGACUGUAACUGACGUUGAGGCUCGAAAGCGUGGGGAGCAAACAGGAUUAGAUACCCUAGUAUA
rnacentral:rRNA from 1 species